rnacentral:lncRNA from 1 species
CUCAUAGCGCCGUCUGAAGGAUUCUUCAUCCUGGGCGACUUGGAAUCACCAUGCCUCCUGGGUUUGCUCUUCUUGCUACAAAAGGCUCCCCAGGCCUUCGCCCCAGCUCUGGAGACGCUCCUCAGCCUGGUUCAUUUGGAGCGAGCCCGGCCCCUCUGUGUUGGGAAACAGGGGUCCUUCCAGCCUCCGGCCCUGGGCAAAGGGAGGAGGAGGCCUCAGGAUGCAGAGGCAGGAGGGCGUGGAUUAGAAACCCAUCACAGAAAUGACUUUCUUAUCACGCCACGACCUGAAUUGACAGAACCAACUCUCGAAAUUGAAUUGUCUCCCCCCUCGGCUGCCUCAGCUCCUAGUUCCUUCCCCACUGCCACCUCCACCUCUGAAAGCCCCGCUGGGAGAGACCAAGAGACAGAGAUGCAGGAGAGAAGCAAAGAUGACUCAACUGAGGCACAGAGGCGUUCAGGAACCUACUCAGCAUCUGGACAGUACCCACGAUGAACAUUCCAGGCCUCUGCAGGUCCAGAGUGGAAGGUGCAGAAGUGAGAGGGCCGAGCUCCACCGGUUCGUGAUCCCUAGUGACCCUGGAACGAGGUUCUUUACCUGAGUUACCUCAUCUCUUCUUCUGGACAGCCCAUAAGCCAGCGCAGCUCCCGUGCCCACUUUGCAGACUGAGAAACCCAGUCUCUUGUGCAGCCCUUCAUGCAGAGUCUUAAUGAGGACCUGGUUGAGCUGGGAUUCAAACCCAAGUUAGUCUGGAGUUCCCGCUGUGGCGUAGCGGGUUAAGAAUCUGAUGGCAGUGGCUCGGGUCACGGUGGGGGCGCGGGUUCAUUUCCCGACCCCUUAACAGUGGGUUAAAGGGAUCCAGCAUCGCUGCAGCUGCGGCUUGGAUUCAGUCGCUGGCCCAAGAACCUCCAUGUGCCAAGGAUGCGGCCAUAAAAAACCAAAACGGAACAAACCCCCCAAGUCUGUCUGAAUCCAGAAUCCGAGCUCUUAACAGCGAGCUCCUCCUUGCAGGGGCAGAAGUCAGGAAGUCCCUGCCACAGAGGCCCUGGAAGCAGGGCCUAGAGUGCGACGCCAGUGGACAAAGCCUGGGCUGGGGACCAGGUGACCUGGGUACAUCUCUCCUGGGCCCCACACUCACUAAUACUUCCCUGAGUUCACGGGCAAAAUGGAGAUGAUAAUAAUAGGGCCUUCUCUCUGGGGCGAUUAUCUUACAGGAACGAGUUUUCAGAAGCACGUAUCACAGUGCCUGACACAUAGUAGGUGCCCCGUCAAAGCUCGCCAUCAUUUCUGUGGAUGAGUUCACAGCAGCCUCUUAAGAGCGUGGGAGCAGCGUGCGUGAGGCGCUUUGCCGUGUGCCCCAGUCUCGGAGACUCCCCGAACUGAAAGCGUCGAGGGCAAGGCCCUCAUGUUUCAGGUGGGGAACCUGGGGCCCAGGCUUGCAGCAAGCGAGUGGCAGGGCCAGGCCUCGGCCUUGGGGGCUCCCUGCAGCCUCCCUGCUCCAGCC